UAAGGAAUAUUGGUCAAUGGACGCAAGUCUGAACCAGCCAUGCCGCGUGAAGGAUGAAGGUCCUCUGGAUUGUAAACUUCUUUUAUCUGGGACGAAAACGGGAUUUUUAUCUCAAUUGACGGUACCAGAGGAAUAAGCACCGGCUAACUCCGUGCCAGCAGCCGCGGUAAUACGGAGGGUGCGAGUGUUAUCCGGAUUUACUGGGUUUAAAGGGUGCGUAGGUGGGCUUAUAAGUCAGUGGUGAAAUCUCCGAGCUUAACUAGGAAACUGCCGUUGAUACUAUAGGUCUUGAAUUAUCUGGAGGUAAGCGGAAUAUGUCAUGUAGCGGUGAAAUGCUUAGAUAUGACAUAGAACACCAAUUGCGAAGGCAGCUUACUACAUAUAAAUUGACGCUGAGGCACGAAAGCGUGGGGAUCAAACA
rnacentral:rRNA from 1 species